GAUGAACGCUAGCGGCAGGCCUAAUACAUGCAAGUCAAGGGGAUAGCAAUAUCACCGGCGGACGGGUGCGUAACGCGUACACAACGUGCCCAAGGGCGGAGGAAAGCGGCGGGAAACUGCCGGUAAUACUCCAUGGUGUUGUUGAGUGGCAUCACUUAACAACUAAAGUACAAGCGCCCUUGGAUCGGUGUGCGUUCGAUUAGCUAGUUGGCGGGGUAACGGCCCACCAAGGCUUCGAUCGAUAGGGGGUNUGAGAGCAUGACCCCCCCANACGGGUACUGAGACACGGACCCGACUCCUACGGGAGGCAGCAGUAAGGAAUAUUGGACAAUGGGCGGAAGCCUGAUCCAGCCCAUGCCGCGUGAAGGCGAAGGCGCUCAGCGUUGUAAACUUCUUUUGGAUGGGAACAAGUAACUCCGACUUGUCGGAACUUGAGGGUACCAUCAGAAUAAGCACCGGCUAACUCCGUG
rnacentral:rRNA from 1 species